UACUACUCUGCAUCGAGCUCAGAAGCUUGUGGGCGAGCUGAGGGGCGGCGGUGGCUAUGCAGCCGAGGGGCGACGGUGAUCGGGCGGGCGAGGGGCGGCGGCGGCUGUGCAGCCGAGAGGCGGCGGCUGUUGGGUGGGCGAGGGGCGGCGGCGGCUAUGCAGCCGAGGGGCGGCGACGGUCGAGCGGCGAGGGCGCAUCUGGACAAGGAGGAGGCACGCGGUGGCCGUGGAGGCUGCACGCAGAGGAGUCCCGAUGAGGGCGACGCGGCGGAGGAGCAGCAGUGCGAGCGGUGGGGCGGCGCGGACGAUUUUGGGAGGAAGCCAAGUCCUUUCAGGGCCAACAGUGGGGAUGCUCUGGAACACCACCGUAACCCCGCUGGGGGCAUUGUCGUGGCGUCUCUCCCGUCCAUGGUGGAAUCCUUAGGUGAAAACCACACCCUGGUUUCCAGGGUGGCGGAUGGCGGCACCAUCAGCAUCGAAACCUUAUUGAAUGCGGAGGUCUUUCCAGCCAAACUCCUGUCUAGACUUUGUCCUCUUAUGGCGGCAUAUAAGUUGCCAACGUUGGCGUUCCUAUUGGGAAAGAGCGGAUUCAUUCUUCUCUCUCACCCUCUCCCCCCUUCAACCGUUAGAUGUGGAUAG
rnacentral:lncRNA from 1 species